rnacentral:lncRNA from 1 species
AUGAAACAUAGUGCCAUAGGUAAGAUUUACAGCGUGCUUAUUUCAUGCCAGGUGAUUCUCUAGCCACUUUUAUAUGUAUUGACUCAAAUAAUCCUCACAUCUCUACUUAAAAGUAGAUGCUGUCAUUAGUCUGACUUCAUCAAUGAGGAAAUAGAAGGACAAUUGAGUUAAGUGCCCAAAGGUGGCAAAACUAGCUGGUAUCCACACACUCAUGUUUAUUGCUGCACUCUCCACAAUAGCUGAGUCACGGAAUCAGCCAAGUGCCCCUCACAGAUGAAUGGAGAAAGAAGAGGUGGUGUGUGUGUGUGUAUGUGUGUGUGUGUGUAUAAUGAAAUAGUAUUCAGCCUUAAAUAAGAAAUUUUUUUUAACAUUUGCAGCAACAGGGAUAAAAAUGAGCCAGGCACAGAAAGACAAGUACCACAUGUUGUCUCACAUUUGUGGAAGCUAAAAAAUAAAUCCACCUGAAAGUAGAACAGAGUGAAUUCAAGAGAUCCAGAAGGGUGCAGGGCAGUGGCAAGGAAAGCAGAAAAGGGAGGUUGGGUUGAAUCAGUGCACACGGUGGGCCUGGGUGGAAAUACCAUGCUGGGCUCCUCUAAU